GGGAAUAUUGCACAAUGGGCGCAAGCCUGAUGCAGCCAUGCCGCGUGUGUGAAGAAGGCCUUCGGGUUGUAAAGCACUUUCAGCGAGGAGGAAGGGUUCAGUGUUAAUAGCACUGUUCAUUGACGUUACUCGCAGAAGAAGCACCGGCUAACUCCGUGCCAGCAGCCGCGGUAAUACGGAGGGUGCAAGCGUUAAUCGGAAUUACUGGGCGUAAAGCGCACGCAGGCGGUUUGUUAAGUCAGAUGUGAAAUCCCCGCGCUUAACGUGGGAACUGCAUUU
rnacentral:rRNA from 1 species